CAUGGAAUUCUCAUGUAGAGCCUGCAGAUGGGUGAAAGUUAUUUCUUAGUUACGAGGCCUACUUAGUGUGAGUUCAGUUGUAGUUCGGAGAAGAAGAAUGGGUUCAGAAAAUUGAUUGAGAAUACAUGAUGAGGUCCCGAGUUUGAAGCUUAAGGAGAAGCAGACUGUGUACUGAGAGUUCAUCAUUCUGAACUAUCAUCAUCAUUUUAUGCAAACACCUUUGUGAUAGAAACUGACUGUUGCUUUGCACUUGUUUCGAUCAUGGUUUUCAGGGGGAAUAAAUGAGGAAUUCAUUGCCUUUUUGGCAGAAUA